rnacentral:rRNA from 1 species
AUACGGAGGAUCCGAGCGUUAUCCGGAUUUAUUGGGUUUAAAGGGUGCGCAGGCGGGAGAUUAAGUCGGCGGUGAAAUUUUGCAGCUCAACUGUAAAAGUGCCUUCGAAACUGGUUUCCUUGAGUGUAGAUGAAGUAGGCGGAAUUUGAGGUGUAGCGGUGAAAUGCAUAGAUAUCACGAGGAACUCCGAUUGCGCAGGCAGCUUACUAAACUACUACUGACGCUCAGGCACGAAGGCGUGGGGAUCAAACAGGAUUAGAUACCCUGGUAGUCCACGCAGUAAACGAUGAUUACUAGCUGUUUGCGAUACAAUGUAAGCGGCUGAGCGAAAGCGUUAAGUAAUCCACCUGGGGAGUACGUUCGCAAGAAUGAAACUCAAAUGAAUUGACGGGG